rnacentral:tRNA from 1 species
GGCUUGCUUGUCUAGUGGUAUGAUUCUCGCUUUGGGUGCGAGAGGUCACGGGUUCGAUUCCCGUGCAAGCC